rnacentral:rRNA from 1 species
UACGUAGGGUGCGAGCGUUGUCCGGAAUUACUGGGCGUAAAGAGCUCGUAGGUGGUUUGUCGCGUUGUUCGUGAAAACUCACAACUCAAUUGUGGGCGUGCGGGCGAUACGGGCAGACUGGAGUACUGCAGGGGAGACUGGAAUUCCUGGUGUAGCGGUGAAAAUGCGCAGAUAUCAGGAGGAACACCGGUGGCGAAGGCGGUUCUCUGGGCAUUACCUGACGCUGAGGAGCGAAAGUGUGGGAGCGAACAGG